GCUGCUGCUUGGAAAACCUGUCAGUAGAGCAUGAGACUCCUAAUCUCUGAGUUGUGGGUUCGAGCCCCACAUUGGGGAACA